UCAGGCCUAACACAUGCAAGUCGAACGAACCCUUCGGGGUUAGUGGCGCACGGGUGCGUAACGCGUGGGGAUCUGCCCUUUGCUUCGGAAUAACAGUUAGAAAUGACUGCUAAUACCGGAUGAUGUCGAAAGACCAAAGAUUUAUCGGCAAAGGAUGAACCCGCGUAGGAUUAGCUAGUUGGUGGGGUAAAGGCCUACCAAGGCGACGAUCCUUAGCUGGUCUGAGAGGAUGAUCAGCCACACUGGGACUGAGACACGGCCCAGACUCCUACGGGAGGCAGCAGUGGGGAAUAUUGGACAAUGGGCGAAAGCCUGAUCCAGCAAUGCCGCGUGAGUGAAGGAGGCCUUAGGGUUGUAAAGCUCUUUACCAGGGAUGAUA
rnacentral:rRNA from 1 species